UUAUGCCUUUUUAGAGGAUAAAAACUAGUGAGUGCCUGGAUGAUCUCUAUGUAGCCCAUGUUCACCACUUCUCUUUUGAACUUUCUUGAGAAUAACACCAAACCGUACACAUACAAAACAAUAAAAAACCUUAAAAGAGAGACAAACAAUUCAAUCUCUUUCUCUUUCUCUAUGCCUUUAAGCUUAUCAUCUACCUCUAUCCAUAUCCAAGAACAUCAAUGGGCAAGGUUUGCCGUGCUCUUUACCCCAUUCCGUCUUUUUUUUUUUUUGGUUGUUUUUUUGGAUUUUCUGAUUUUUUUUGGGUUACAGGAAAAGAAGAAGAAACCAGAAAAAGUGACACAAUAUAUAUAUUGACGGUGGUUAGCAAUCUUCAAAUUGAAAUUAAGCCCGACGUGGUUGGUGCUAAAAGGUUUGUAUUGUAUUGGGUAUUUGCUAGCACAUUGCAAUUGGAGAUUGAACAUUGUUUGAUCUUUAUUUAGCAGUGAUUUUGGAGUUCCUGAGUUGUGCGAACUUUCCUGACUUUAUGGAUGUAUAACACGACAGUAUUAAAGAUAUCAAAUUUCUGCUUCUUAUCUUAGAGUUCAUUUUAUAUUUUGGAACUUGGGUUGGAAUUGGAGAAAAGCGAUUUUUGGAUGAAGGACGGG
rnacentral:lncRNA from 1 species